rnacentral:tRNA from 2 species
GGAGUAAUGGCUGAGAGGCUGAAGGCACUUCCCUGCUAAGGAAGCAUGUGGGGUUAACCUGCAUCGAGGGUUCGAAUCCCUCUUACUCCGCCA